rnacentral:tRNA from 1 species
CCUAACGUGGCAGAUAAGUGCAUUGGAUUUAAGCUCCAAACAUAAAGUACCAGGAACUUUCAUUAGAACCAA